CGCAAAGGAGUAGCUUCCUCUGGACGAGAACUCGUUUGCCUUUCAGCUCUAAGCCUUCCUUUCGCUUCGACCAUGAAACUCAGUCUUACAACUCUCAAUUCCUUUCGGGCUUUUAAUUCCUUAAAUCCAAGGAAUCCAAUUCCCUUUCCUAGACCCUCAAAUCCAUUCUCUAUCUCUAAUCAGUUACUCUCCGUAAUCCACCAGUCUUCCAAACCUUCCCGUUUCCUUCCUAUUUGCUUUUCAAAUACCACUAAACAAUCCAAUUCCAGCAACGAAAUAUCGUCUCUUUCCAACGCCGAGUUGACUGGGACUUCAAAUCAAAGUCUUGGUGAAGAUGAAUUGGAGAAGAAUUUGGGUGUGCAAGUUGGAAAUCCCAUUGUUCCCUCGUAUAUUCCGCCAUCUGCUAAGCUCAGUUUGAGUGACCAAGCUUUCUUUCUCUUGUCAUUUAUCGCUUGCACGUUGGACAAAUAAGAAACUUGGAUUUCUCUUGAAGAAAAAUCAAUGAAGAAAAAUCAGUGACUUUGUCUUAACUCUAUGGCUCGUGAAUUUGUUGACACUGAGAUUUAUUAACUUGGCUCACUGCUGAUAAACAUUAGUAAAUUUGUCUGCGUGCAGACUUCUAUAGCUUUUACGGGCUUUGUCAUCGCUGCCAUCCCAACACUUUAUGUAAGUCAUAUGAAAUUACAAACUCUAUUGAAGAAUCUCAUAUCUUUUAACAUAAAGUUUAGUAUUAAUUUUCAGAUUUGAGUCCAAUUUUCUUUUUAAUUGCUUGCUCUAUUGUGGCUUGAAUGUAAUAUCAUUUCUAAUGGCAACAUUAAGGCUCUAUAAGAAUUCUAUAAAAUCCAUUUGUUUAUAUAUAUAUUGUGGCUGCCAUCUCUUGGUUAUAUCAAUUUUGUUAUAGUAUGAUUAAUUUUCAUAUUGCUUGCUGCCAGACUAGGAGAAAACUUGGGAUCUGUAGCAUCAAAGAACGUUAUCAAUGUUAUGUUUAGAUCAUAGUUUUUGAUAUCUUUGUCACUGCAAUUCGUGUCGGAAUUAAGCAAUUCUGUCUCUCACCAUCCAAAAUUGACUUUGAUCAAUUUGAGCGUGAGUGUGACAAAAGUUGUAUAGCCUUUUUCUCACAUGUGUAUAGGAUCGUGGGCAAUUCAUGUAGGGAUUAAGCAAUUCUGUCUCUUCCCAUCCAGUAAUUUUUAUCAUCUUGUUUCCACACUAAAUUGACUUUGAUCAAUUUGAUCAUGUCAAAAGUUGUAUAGCUUUUUACUCAUAUGCGUGUAGGAUUGCGGGCAUGUCAGGGACACUAAGGUCCCAAUUGUGUAAUGUGAAUGUACUGGUUUGACUUCUAAUUUGAAUGAUUAUGAAGCGUGAAAUAAAUGACUUAAUUUUCCUUUAGAUUCCUUGAUUCCAUUAGGAUAUGCAUCCACAAGAUUUCUACUAUAUCAACUUGGAAAUUUGAGAAAACUGUAGGCUAUAAAAGAGAUUUGUGAGCAAAAGAAUGAUUGAAGAUGAAAUUGCUAAAGUUUGCUAGGAAAAUAUGUACUGAGAGCUUGAUUGGAAAUUGAAAACAGAGUUGAAUUAAAUUGUAAACAGAACUAUGAGCAGUGAAAUUGUAAAACUGAGCUGGAAUUGAAAACUGGAUUUGAAAGCAAUAUAAAAUUGACCUAUAAAUUAAAAAGAUCACUUGAAGAAACUUGGAAUUGAUUGUUGAAAUUAAAAGGGAGUUGGUGCAUGAAAAGUAAAGGCUGAGAACGCAUAAUUAAUUUCGGCCCAAAAAAUUAAAAUUCAAUUAUGGUGCAAACACAUCUUUAAAUUGGGGAACCUACACACACAAGCUUAGAGCAUAGUCAAACACUCCUAAUUCUUAAAUAUGGAAAUGCUGACCACAGUUUCUUUUUCUAUCAAAGGAGAUAUGUCCUCUUAUGAGGGCUUUAUGCUUUUAUCAUCUGACUGACCAUUUCUGCUUCCUAGUCUCCAUCCAUUUAUGUCUAGUUUUGCCCUAACACCUGUGAUUCGCUCUUCUCUGGCAGUGGGAGAAGGUUCACCAUUUUUACUGCAAGCAUACAAAUUCUUCAUUCUGUUUACAUUUGUUUUUUUUUAUUCAAUUUAAAGUUCUCAUUCUUAUUUCUUUCAACCCAAUAAGUCCUUUUAGGAGUUGCAGUUGUUCUGGAUAGCCCUAUUUUUGGAAGAGAUAUUGUGUAAAUCAUCUCAUGCAUUGAAUUAUGAGGAAUGUGUUUUUGUUUUGCAAAUGUGGAGUUCUGUUUGUAUAUUUUUUUACUGUUUGAUAGGCAAUGGGGAGAGCUGCAAAAUCUCUUUCAAAGUUAGCAGAUACAGCUCGGGAGGAACUCCCUAGUACAAUGGCCGCAAUUAGGCUUUCAGGCAUGGAAAUCAGUGAUCUUACAUUGGAAUUAAGUGAUUUGAGGUGACAAUAAAAUCCUUAUCAUUCACUUUGCUUGCUAUUUAUUUAAGUAUUAUCUCUCUAUUUCUCCCUUUUGGCCCCAUUUUCCCCCCUUGGAUCAGUUCUUGGAAUGCAAUUCACACUGUUGUCUUUUAUGAUAGAACUUGUGUCUUGCAAGAAAUGAUGGUUUUCCUUGAACCGCUAAAAGGAUGCCCUUUGAACAUAAGAUUAUCACAUAUCUCAUAGGACAGGAGGAGUAGGAGUGUGGAUGAGAAAGGGGGGGAAUUGAAAAAGGGCAAAAAAAAAAUCACGCUAUUAACUUAAUGCGUUGCUAACCUUUGUGAUUAGAGUAAGGUAACGGUUCUUAUUUGGAGAGAAAAGCAUACAUAAUUGCACAUCUCUUAAGGACCCAAUAGCAUUUAUCUGUUGAUGUUUUAUUCAAUAAUAUUGUUUAUAUUGACACUCAGCCAUGAGAUAGCUGAUGGGGUCAACAAAUCAGCUCAAGCUGUGCAAGCAGCAGAAUCUGGGAUUCGACAAAUUGGUACACUUGCUCAUCAGCAGACUAUCUCAAUGAUUCAAGAGAGAGCCAGCCUUCCUAUCAUCUCACUGCAGCCUGUAGUUGCUGGGGCUGCAAAGAAGACUUCCCGUGCUGUUGGCCAAGCCACCAAGACCUUCAUGAAAAUCAUCUCACGAGGGGAGUUUACCUCAGAAAAUGAGGAUAAUAAUGAAAUUGAAAGGUUGGACAUUUAAGAGUCACUUCUGAUUUAAAUGAUUACUUGUGUACAUAUUUUGGAGAGCUGCUACUGCUGCUACUGCUAUACGGAUAUUGUAAAUGCUUUUGGUAAUCUACAAAUUUUUGUCCCAGACCAACACUAAAUUUAAAUUUCAUUAACCAAUACAGGUUGGCAAUAAAACAUUUUCUGCUGAUAAAGUGAGGGAUUUAUGAACUUGGCUCAUUGGAUCAUAUGA
rnacentral:misc_RNA from 1 species